rnacentral:misc_RNA from 1 species
AACGCACCUUGCGCCCUCUGGUAUUCCGGAGGGCAUGCCUGUCUGAGUGUCGCGCACCUCUCAACCCCCGCUCUGCUUUAAAACGCGGCGCGCGCGGGCUUGGACCGUGGCUGCCUUGGUCGCUCGCAAGAGCGGCCCAGCCGAAAUGCACACCAAGCGGAUGUCCGUCCUUCUUGGACUGCGGCUUGACCGAGUGUUGUAGUGUCGUACAAAGCACAUUCGGGACGCGGACCUUGCGAAAGACGGCCCUGCGCCGGACACAGCGAUAACUAUUGUCAUCGACCUCAAAUCAGGCAGGACUACCCGCUGAACUUAA